rnacentral:rRNA from 1 species
UACAGAGGUCCCAAGCGUUGUUCGGAUUCAUUGGGCGUAAAGGGUGCGUAGGCGGCGCGGUAAGUCGGGUGUGAAAUCUCGGGGCUUAACUCCGAAACUGCAUUCGAUACUGCCGUGCUUGAGGACUGGAGAGGAGACUGGAAUUCAUGGUGUAGCAGUGAAAUGCGUAGAGAUCAUGAGGAAGACCAGUGGCGAAGGCGGGUCUCUGGACAGUUCCUGACACUGAGACACGAAGGCCAGGGGAGCAAAACGGG